rnacentral:tRNA from 4 species
GCCCCCGUAGCUCAGUGGAUUAGAGUAAGAGGUUUCUACCCUCCUGGCCGUAGGUUCGAGUCCUACCGGGGGUACCA